rnacentral:lncRNA from 1 species
AAAUAAAAAUAUAUCAAAAUCACCCAUAUUAUAUCAAUUUUAGUAUUAGCUACGAAUUCAUUCACUUUAAACUAAUAUAAAUCCCAAAUCUACCUAUUUUGUAUUUAUUAUUGUUAUUUUAAACUAAUACAACCUCAUAAUCACAAAAAUAAAAUACAUUGCCCUUAAAUUUCACAUUACAGGUUUUGCUAUUAUUCUUUCCAUUUGGUUUCACCAGAAAUGGAGACGGUUAGGACGGCGCUGGACUGGUAAAGGUGGCGCCAGAUCUGGUUUCAGAGAAAUAUGGUCAGCUGAAAACAUGAAAAGGGGAAGAGAUCAUACUAGCUGACGGGAUGCACCGGUUGGUGGUUUGCAUGGGUUUUCAGGCCAUAUUUGACCGACUGUUUGAAAAAUUCGGCGAUGGAUGGCUGAUUCCGACGGGGAUUCACCGAUGCUAAUGGAGCGGAUCCGGUGAGGGAAGUGGGGGCGGCGGCAGCGGAUCACUAGCCUUGGAUGUUUCUGGCGAUGGUGGUUUUUCGCUAUUUUUCUGGCGAAGAGGGUCGCCGGAAUGGCCACGAGACAGAUUGGUUUUGGGUGGUUUUGGCGAUUUCCAGCGCUUUGGUUCGCUGAUGGAGAGAAUCGAUUGAUUUUGGUGGGGGUUUCGGGUGAGGUUAUUAUCGCCGCUAUGACGUGGAUUUCGGCUGAAUCUGGUGGUUCUGACAUUGGUUUCGCCAUUAAUGGCAUCAUCGGUGAUGGGUUUUGGGGAGCGAAAUUGAGUUGCUGGUUUCCUUAGCGAUUUCAGAGAAAAAUCUUGCCGGAAAAUCUAUAUAUUUUAUUUUUUAUAUUGAUUCUUUGAUUUUAUAUUACGCGCAAUCUGUUACUUUUUCUUUUAUUUUUCUUCAUUAUUUUCUCAUCUCCGAUCUCUCAUUGUGUGUGCAGAUAUGUACAUAUGUUUUACUGCCCGCAUAUGUUGUACUGUAAUCAUAUAAAAUAUGGAGAAGAUGACUAUACUCUCAAUCUUUGCAUUCUUAGUUUUUAAUCAAUUUUCUACUUCAUUUUAUUAUUAUCUGAUAUUUCCCUAUCUAUUUUCGUUUGUACAGGGAUAUGUUAAUGAUAUACAAGAUACUAGAUUUCAACAUAAAUGUUUCAACAAAAAGUAAUUCUAUAACACAUAAUAAUGAAAAUUCACUUAAUUGAACAAUCAUAUAUUGAUGAAUAACGUAAUGAAAUUAUUUAACAUUUUUUUUUCAUUUAUGUUUUUCAUAAUAAUAUCUAUAAAAUGCAUAAUACAUGAUUAAAUUGAAAUCUGUUAUGAACUAAGCCAAAAACUCGAGCGCGGUCCGGAAUCUUCCAUGGAACCUUCAACUUCCUUCUUUUCUCUCUUUUGUCUGAUAUUUUUCUCUCUCUUUUUUUUACUCUUUGUUUUUCUCUCACUCUGUCAGAUAGUAUGUGUUAAAAUAUUUGAGGAUGUGAAAAAGUAGUAGAUUUUUUUUUAUCUGAGGGUGAAAAAAGCUUAAAUAGGGAAAAUUAGGGCGAACAGUUAUAGAUAAGAUAGGAUAAGAUUUUGUUUAAAUUUUAAAUCCUUUUUUUUAAUUACUAUUAUAGAUAAUAAAAUAAAUCAAAAUAAAUAAAUAAAUAAAUAAUAAAAUAAUAAUAAUAAUAAUAAUAAUAAUAACUAAUUAAUUUUAUAUUUAAAAAAUAUAUUAAAAUAGCUAAAAAUAAAUAUAAUUAAGAUAGUACUAAAACUAUUAACUUAUUUAUUUUUAAAAAAAUAUUUUUAUUUUUUUGUAUUAUUAUUUUUUUAAAAAAAUUGAAAUACCAAUAAAAUAAAAUAUUCUAAAAUUAACUUAAUUUAGUUAUUUAUUUUUUAACUAAAAACUUAUUAAAAAUAAAAUAAGAACUAAAACAAUAUCGGGCCAAAUAUAAAAAUUUAAUAUCAAGAAAUAUAUAUUAAACUCGGGGAGGGUCAAAGUCACGUGUCUACAUUUUGCCCCUCUUUGUUUGAAAUCUUAAAGAGUUUUCAUACAAAGAAGUAGACUAAGAGAUGAUUUUUGACCCUCCGUUUAUUCUAAAAGUAAAGAUAAAACAAAACAAAAUAAAAUAAAAUUAAAGAUGUGACCAAGUUCUGGUUUUGGACAACCUACAUAUCCGGGUUAAAAGAAAAUCAUGUCACGUGUAGUUCAAAGGUAAUAUGUUGAGAGAAAAAGUUAAAGUCGAGUGAGAUUCCGUCGAGUUUUCGGUUGACGACUCCUGCCUUUUACAUUCAAAUAACGAACAAAAACUGAAAAAUACAAAUGAAAAUUGUAAUCUCUAGAAUCUUGAUUCUACUCUUCGCGACUUGAUUUUGAAAAUUCACCUUAUUCUUCAGGCGGGCUCUUGACUUGUUAUUUCUUCACCCUGUUCUUCAGGCGGGCUCCAAUGCCGCUUGAAUUACCAAAACAAGGAAGUACGUCUCAAUACCACUUGAAUUACCAAACCAAGGAAGUGCGUCUCCUUACCAAUGUCGCUUGAAUUACCAAAACAAGGAAGUGCAUUUCCUUAUCGAUGCAGCUUGAAUUACCCAAAUCAGAAAGUGAGUCUCCUUACAAAUGCCGCUUGAAUUACCCAAAUCAGGAAAUGCGUCUACUUACAAAUUUUGCUUGUAUUGUCCAAACAAGGAAGCGUGUGUCCUUACAAAUGUCACUCGAAGUAUGUCUCCUAACAAAUGUCUCUUUAAUUAACCAAACAAGGAAGUGUUUUGCGGAAAUUUUGACUUUUGAAAGAAAGUCGCCACUUAAUUUUGAAAAUGAAUUAAGAAACCUGAGUAAAAUACUUAAACGAUACAAAACAGAAAAAUCAUUUUAAGUUAGAGAUUCCGAGUAAGUGGUUCCUAUUAAAGUUUUAGGAUGGUGUUAGGAACCUAAAACGUCCGCUAACUUGCGGUUAUCCGGACUGUUUGAAAAUCAUCUUUUUAUUAACCUUGAAAAGAGUUAAUUUUUUGAAAAGAAAACGAUUUUAGAAAUAUUUAAGUGUUUAUCCAAAACCAGUGUUUAGCGACUUGACUAAGGAUUUAACUAGGUUCGCAAAACACAUAAGGCAAACAAACGUAAAGAAAAGUGGUAAGGGGAGAAAGUAAGGGAUUUAGGCCAUUUGGCCCAAGUCAAUGAGACCUGUCCUAGUCUAAUUGGGCUUUUGACCCAUUUCACCUGUCCUAAUCUAGUUUCCGAGCCUUUGGCUCGAGUAUCGCUCCACCUGUAUUAGUUAACAAGUUUGGCUUCGAGGCCCAAAUACAUAAAUAAAAUAAAUGAAUAACUAAAUAGAUAAAGACAACAAUAAACAAAUGAAUAAAUGGAAUAAAACUGAGACUCUCAAGUCUCUUGACCUCUUCAACGAUGGAAUUUUAACCCACUCUUUUCUUCUUUCAACUCCUUGUAUCCAUACACCACGAGAUGGUCUUUUGGAUUUUAGGCCUCCGGGUUUGACUGGAGAAAUUUGGCCAUAUGGGCCCACUCCAAAAUACAGGAAGGAAAAGUCCAUUUAGACUCCAAAGUGGGUUCAUGCAAAGAAAAGAAGAAGCUUAUUAACACAUGAUCAAUAGAAGAAGGAAGAGGAGAAAGUGUAAAGGAAGUCAAGACAUGAUCAACCGGGAUAGGAAAACUAAUAGGUGUUAAUACAUGAUCAACCACAUAAAAAAAUGAAUAAAAUUAAUAUAUGGUUAACUUUAUAAGCAAGGAGACAUGGAUCCUAAUAAGUAAUCAAAAGCCCAUUGAAAAUAAUAAGACACCUUUGUAUCAGUUCAAAUAACAAGUUUGACCAAAAUAGAGGAAGUUACAGGUAGUUAACACAUAAUCAACCAAAGAAGAAAAAGAAAAUUAAUCUUCUAUAUGGAGAUAACUUAUCAAAAUUAGCUAAAGAUUAGGUGAUUAUGUCAUAUGAAUUAGACGAUAGAGAAACUAGAUGAAUUAUUUGCUUUGCUAAAAGAGAACGUCAUUAGGGUCUAAUCCACAUUAUCCUUAGUUGUUUUUGGAUUAAAGUAGAAAGGAACAGAAGAUCUUAUUUAGGAAAAAGUUAAAUUUCUAUUAGAUGAUAAUGACACUAGUGACACUAGAUGAAUGGUUGUCACCUAUGAGUCUCCUAAUUCUAGUGUCUGGUAAAAGGAUGGGAUGACACAAGAAAAUUAUUAAGCAUACUUAAAUCUUUAUGCACUAAUUAAAAGUCAAUCCUUAUUUCAGUUGUAUUGCAAAUUAAUUGUAGGAAACGUAUGAUGUUAAUCAAUUUACAUCUUUCAUCAUGAUAUCAAAUUAAGAAAAGAAAUAAAAUUGGACACAUGCCCAGCUUUUCUUAGAGGGAUUUAAUCUACAAACAUACAAGACCAAGGAAGAAUGUGAAUAUGAACAUAGGAAGAACACUCUAUGGUCAAGAAGGUACCUUUUGGCCCUUACUAUAAAGGAUCUAUAUCAUUACUUACUAAUCAUGCUUUCCCAAAUAGCCUCAUGUUGAAAUUAAGUUUAUCAAACAAAUAUCCCAGCGAUAAGCAUUCUUAAAAUGGGAAUAGAAGCAUUUUCGAGAAAAAUCAAAGGAGGAAAAGAAAGAGUAAAGACUAUGCACAGAUACGAAUCCUGACCGCUAAGAGAAAGCAAAUGCAACAAUAUUCAUCAAGAUACAAUCCUCAACUAGACAAAACUUAGAACACAACAUCAAAAUACUUCAAGAGAAAUAAAGUGAUAUAGCAGCAGAACAUGGAUGAAAGAUCACUAACAGGACAUCAUACCAAAAACCAUACAAAACACAAGUGCAUCCUCUUUAAAAGUUACUAAUCUGAUGAUUCAAAUUUCUUACAUUACCAAAAUUCUUCAAACCAUACAACAAAAGAAUCAGAAAAUGAAUGAGGGAUCGAGAGAUUUGCCUUUCUAGGGGCAGCAAAAUGGGCCUUGAGCCUUCAACGGAAUCACAGCCACUAGAAGAUCAUCGUAAGCGUCACUUUGAGACUUCAAUCAGUUGAAGAACCCACAAAGACCAAACUUUUAACUCAAACAGAAACUGCUACUGAUUUGCUCAAGAUAGCUUUUCCCUUUUCAGACCUAGAAUUUUUGAAGCAAUGUCCCCCCCCCCCCCCCCCCCACAAAGAAGAAUUCUCAGUCUCCAAUCCUCCAAUUUCUGACCUCGAAAGAAGAGAAGAGAUCCAAGAAAAAAUCCCCUGUCCAGUGAUCCAAAAUUUUCUCUCUUUGAAACCCCAAUUUUGAUCCCAGAAUUCGAACCCCCCUCCCCCCCAAAUUUUUCUUUUUUGGCACUGCUCUUAAACUCCUCUUUUAUAGAGAAAUCGUAUAGGGCUUCUUUUGGGGGUAAAUUAGGGAAAAAAUAAAAAAGGAAAUUUAAAUUCCAAAUUUUGGAUAGGGAUUCUGUCAACCGCUUGUACAAUCCCGGUGAAUUUCGAAAUAAGGCCAACCAAUCUAAAUUGGAGAAAGGGAAAUCAUUUUCAAGAACCAAUGAGAAAUCUCCUCCAAUGUAUGAAUUCGUACAAGUUAUCUAAAAAAUCAUGGAAUUUGGAAGUUGGGGGAGACACCUAAGCUUUUUUCUAGAAGCUUCGAGGCCCUUCCCCAUUGUAUUAUCACGUGGAACACGCAUGAUUACGAAGAGGCAAUAGAAAAUGGGUUGGAUUUGGGUUUCCGCUGGUUGUGUUUGGAUCAUGGAGGAGAGGAAUGGGAUUGAUUUUUGCUGUUUUUUGAAGCUGUACGUGCAUUUAAUUGUGUUGUACGUGGAUAAGGUUGUUGUCGUACGUUGGUUGAUAUUUUGUUUUGCUGAUGGGAGUGAAGGGGUAAAGGGGGACUUGGUUGGGCCUAGUUAGUGCAGCCAAGAUGGGCUGCUGGUAAUAUGAUGAGUGGUUUGGGCCUGGGGCGGUUUUAAUUGGGGAAUUAUGCUGGUGGAAUUAUUUAAUACAUAGCCCAAUUAGGAUUAGGUUUAAACUCUCUAAUGAAUAGCCUUUUGAUAAAGACUUUAGUCAAUUGUAUUUAAAUUUUGACCCAAUUGAAGAUUGAUUGGCCAAUUGUAUUGCCAUUGUAGCCAAAUCAACUUCAGUUAAAUCUAAUCUUAAUAAAUUGACCAAAUCGAAAUCAAGAUUUGAAAUGAAUUUCACAACUAGUUUAAUCCUAAGCUUCUUUGAUUUGAUAAAAUCAAAAGCAUAUUUAUCCAAAUAAAUAUUUUGAAAAAUCUUUUUAUUCCGAUGAAAUAAAUGUUUCAAUUUUAUUGAAAAUAAAAAAAACUUGAGAUUAAAAUUAGUCGUGGAGGGUAAAAAUUAGGUGUCAACAACUGCCCCUCCCUUUGGGUAGGGUGGAUGUAAGUAACCUUGAGAAAAGGGAGGUUGACAUUCCUAAUUUUUGUCAGACCAUAGAUUCAAAUCUGAAAGAGGCUGGUUUUUGCACGAGUUUCAUAGAGUCAUGGCCAGACCUCGGUAUUAGGUUUCCUACAUAUCUCAGGUUACAUGAGAAUUAAGGCCACUUGUAGUUCAUAAAGCUUGAUUUAAAGCACGAUCUUCAAGUAAAUUCACAAGCUAUCUCGGUUUUAGAGUUUUUGAUAAAAUUGAGGAACUACGGAAUAAAGAGAUUAGGGGGGAGAUUGGAAUGCAGUCGAGUUUCUACAUAGAUUCCAGCCUAUAUAUCCCCAAUAUUUCAGGGAAUCAUACUACUUGUAGUUCGACUCUAUCAGUAAAAAAAAUAGUCUUUUAUUUUAGACCAUCUUUGGCUCGAAAUGAGUGACAAGUUGAUCGAGUUAUGGAAAGAGGCUUGUAACCUCUUAACCAUGAAUGUGGGGUCCUUCACAUCCAUAGGCAAGAACUUACCUGGACAUAAUUUCCAAAACUCUAAGUGUGUUGCCACCCAAAUCUGAAAGAAAGAGAACGUUACCCUCGACAUGAGUUUAGAAAUAUCCCGAAGGUGAACCUGAAGCCAGAAUAUCUUGAACUACCCACAUUCCUUCUAACAGGGGUGUGGUUGGAUGGUGGUGGUGAUCAUCCUUUAGCUUACGUCCAAAGAGUUUGACGUCCCUCUCUAGACUAUGUCUCGUUUUACUGCUAAGAAAGAGUUCCACGUUGUGCUGCGUCCUUUUUGGAGUUGUCCGCACCUGUGGGUUUGAUUUGAGAUUUUUAUCCUCUCGGAUGAUCUCAACAAUAUCUCAAACAAAAUUGUUAGUGCUAACAUAAUUCACGAAAGAGGUAGGUAGUCUUUUACCAUAUCUCCACAUGAGUUGCGGCCUGAAAGGCGGAGUCAUCUCUUCAUGUACCUGUUUGGAAUGAAAUAACCCGCAAUUACAAAUACAACAACCCUCUUGGUUGUUGUAUAAUUAUGACAUUUGUUGAUUGAAUAUGUCUUCAAAGUAGGGUGGCCCUUUUGGACACCGGCGAUACUUUAUGUAGAACGGUCCCUACAACCGUGUAACUGUGCUGGAGUGGCAACCCUUUUGGUUACCUAUAUCACUUGUUGUAUGUGGAAUGAUAAUGAUAACCUUUUCGGUUAUAGUCGAUGAUCGAUUUAUAAAUUUUUCUUAAAUUGUCAAUCUUUGGAUAAUCUUAUGCAUUAUUUGAUGUUGGAUACGAGGCGACUUACAGAUAUCCUUUGAAUUGCUAGCUUUUAGGUAAUCUUGCACAUUAUCCGACUUUGGAUAAGAGAUGGCUACAGAUAACCCUCCAAUCACUAGCUUUCAGGUGUUCCUGCACAUCAUCCGACCUUGGAUACAAUAUGACUUAUAGAUAAUCCCUCAAAUUGUUAGUCUUUGGGUAAUCCUGCACAUAAUCGAUCUUGGAUAUGACGCGUCUUAUAGAGAACCCUUGGACGUAUCAAUUUGCUAAUCUUGCAUAUUCUCUGGUAAGGAUUUAGUUGCGACUUACGAAUAACCUUUGAACUAUCGACUUUUGGGCAAUCUUGCAUACGAUCCGGUUAGGAUGUUGUUGUGGCUUACGGAUGACCAAUAGACUAUCAACUCAUAGGUGAUCUUGUACACUAUCCUAUUUCAAAUAAUAUGACUUAUAGAUGACCCUCAAAUUGUCAAUUUCUAGGAAACCUUAUAUAUCAUUCAUCCUUAGAUACCGACUUGAAGACGUCCCUUCAAAUCGUGUGCUCUUAAUGUAUUUAGAUACUGAUUCAUGAAAUGAUGAGAUAUCCUCAAUGCCAGUGUUUCUGUCUAGCGCAUUAACAGAUAUUGAAUGCCUUCUGGGGCAAUGGUACGAGAUGGCCUUUGUGGUAAUGAUAUGUAAAUGCCCUUGGGGCAAUGCCUUGCGGCAAUGAUAUAUAAUAGCCCUUGGGGCAACGCCUUGCAGCAAUGAUAUAUAAAUGCCCUUGGGGCAAUGAUAUGCAAUAGCUCUUGAGGCAAUGCCUUGCGGUUAUGAUUUUUAAUGGCCCUUGGGGCAAUGAUAUGCAAUAGCUCUUGAGGCAAUGCCUUGCGGCUAUGAUGUGUAAUGACCCUUGGGUCAAUGAUAUGCAAUAGCUCUUGAGGCAAUGCCUUGCGGCUAUGAUGUGUAACGGACCUUGGGGCAAUGAUAUGCAAUAGCUCUUGAGGCAAUGCCUUGCGGCUAUGAUGUGUAAUUUUACAUGACUUCAUUUAUCAUCGUUCUGCUUUCUACAUGUACUUGUACUCAAGUAGAUGAUUAGUAGACACAAAGUCGCUUUUACUAGCGACUAUUUUUAGGAAACUUCUAAAUACGAUAUGUGUAAAGAAGAUAAAGAGCUUUUGUUUUCCACCUACGAUCUCAAGAAAUGAGAUGGACAAAUCAAAAGAUCCUCAAUAAAUGGGCAUUAAACCUAUUUUUAGGGUUGCCCUAAAACACCGUUCUUGGGUAUUAAUGCUCUAUUGUGGCUCCCACUUUGCUCGGAGAUUUUUUAAAGAGACCCUUAUUUUUGUGUAUCGAUCCCUGCAUCCACAAAAAUGAUUAGUUUGAAUAAAAUUACUCCGUGUUGACCUUCUUCGAUCCUUGAUUUGCUCCUUGCUAUCUCUUGGGCAUUCCACCAUAUCGCGACUUCCACCCUGACACUUCAUCCCAAAUGAUGUCUAGGCGAGUACUAAAUAAGUGAGUCGUAAGAUUUUUGAAAAUAGUCUUAAAAUUUUGAAAAUAACUUCAAAAAAUUAUGUAAAACUGUAGAAAAACUCUGCCCAUCAUGUCAUGUACUAGCUCAACGAACGUCUUCCUCGUGUUUUUGACUAUACUCGAUGGAUAGUUUCCAAAACUCAUGAUCAUUGUUUGAGUCUACCCGGAUUUUGUUAUAGUUAGUGGCUUCCAAAGCUUUAACCUCUGGUGCUGGGGAAUUUGAAAUAUGUUCCGGCAUUUGGUGGAAAUUUUAAGGUCUUUCUCAAAAUUUCUGCCCCAGUUUAAAAUUGUUUGAGAUGAUACCAAUCCGAGUGGAUCUAAAGUCUUUGCUGAUCUUCAUUCUUUUUGUUGGAUGUCGAUCUUCUUUUGUGAAUUUUCGAGAUUCCUUCUCGAAAAUUCUGCCCCAGUUUUCCUUUCCUGGGGUUAUAUGACCGAGCCGUUGGUGCGCCUACGUAUCCCGUUGAAGCAGGAAUCAGGUCAAACAUAGUUUAGGACUACGCUAGGGAUAUAUAUAGAAAAUCUAAUGGGUUGACCGAAGCCGACAUAAGCCGCCUACGUAUCCCUUUUGUUGGGAAUUCAGAUCAUCACAUAGUUCAUACAUAAGAGGAAAGGAUAAAUUAUCCUAAGGGGCUGACCAAAGCCGACAUAGGCCACCUAUGUAUCCCUUUCUUGGGAAUUCAGGUCAAACGUAGUUCAUACAUAAGAGAAAAGGACUCUAGACAGCCACACACUAGAAAACAACAUUAUUACAAAGGCGACUACAAGUAAAUUAACUAAAGAAACACAAAAGAUAGAAUGUCCUUCAAACAUAAUAUCUCUUUACCGCGUUGGAAUUGAUUGGUGUGGUCCACUCCGUGCCAUCCAUCUCAGACAAAAUCAGAGCUCCUCCAGAUAGCACCUUGCGAACUAUGUAUGGCCCUUGCCAGUUUGGAGCGAACUUGCCCUUGUACUCCUCUUGGUGAGAGAAUAUUCGUUUGAGAACCAGUUGCCCCACUUCAAAUUCCCGAGCCCUCACCUUCUUGUUAGAGGCACGAACCAUCCUGUGUUUGUACAACUGACCAUGGCAUACAGCGACCAUUCUCUUUUCAUCAAUCAACAUGAGUUGUUCAUAGCGAGCAUGAACCCAUUCUUCGUUACUUAGGGAAGGUAUUUCGACUUCAGCAGGUAUCACAGCUUCAUUCCCAUAGACAAGUAAAUAGGGGGUCAACCCGGUGGAGGUUCGAACUGUUGUGAGAUACCCUAAUAAAGCGUAAGGUAACAUCUCAUGCCAUGAUCUAUCAUUUUUGACCAUCUUUCUCAAGAUCUUCUUGAUAUUCUUGUUGGCCGCUUCCACAACUUUUUCAUUUGGGGACGAUAUGCAGUCGAGUUGCGAUGCACAAUCUUGAACUGAUCACAAAUUUCUUUCAUCAAGUGACUAUUCAAGUUUUCCCCAUUGUCAGUAAUGAUCGAUUCCGGUACUUUGAACCGGCAAAUCAAGUUAUUCCUGACGAAAUCUUCAACCACUUUCUUAGUGACAGCUCUGUACGAAGCCGCUUCAACCCACUUAGUGAAAUAAUCAAUGGCAACCAAAAUAAAUCUAUGCCCAUUCGAUGCUAAUAGCUCUAUUGGUCCGAUAACAUCCAUGCCCCAAGCUACGAAAGGCCAAGGCGAGUUCAUUGUGUGAAGCUCGUGUGGAGGCAUUCGAAUCAGAUCUCCGUGUAUUUGAAAUUUUGGACAUCUCUGCACAUACUUACUACAAUCAUUUUCCAUAGUCAUCCAGAAGUAACCGGUUCUCAGGAUCUUUCUGGCAAGGGUUAAUCCAUUUAUGUGGGGCCCACAAAUUCUAGCGUGUACCUCUUUUAUCAAUUUAUUAGCUUUUGAAGCAUCGAUGCAUCUUAGGAAUCCCAAAUCAGGAGUCCUCCUAAAAAGAAUUUCCCCACGUGGAAAUUAAUUCUUUGCCAAACGCCGGAUUGUCUUCUUUUGGUUGUUACUAGCCUCUUCAAGAUAUAUUUCAGAUUCCAAAUACCUUUUAAUGUCAUAGUACCAAGGAUUUCCAUCAGUCUCCUUUUCCACGUGUACACAAUGCGCGGGUUGCUCCUUCAAGCUUAUUUCCAAAGGAUCAAUAUAACUCUGAUCCGGGUGCUGCUGAAUCAUUGAAGAUAUAGUGGCCAAAGCAUCAGCAAACUCAUUUUGUAUCCGUGGGAUAUGCCUAAAAUCAACUUCCUUGAAUCUUUCACAUAAUUCUUGCACCAUCUCCACAUAAGGAGUGAUCUUGGGAUUUUUUACCGCCCAUUCUCCCCGUACCUAGUGAAUCAGCAAAUCUGAAUCCCCAAUGACUAACAAUUCACGAACACUCAUAUCAAGUGCCAAUUUGAGACCCAGAAUGCAAGCCUCAUAUUCAGCCAUGUUAUUGGUGCAUGGAAAACGUAACUUAGCAGUUACCAAAUAAUGCUGGCCCGUUUCUGACACCAAAACUGCUCCAAUUCAUAAACCUUUGAAAUUGACCGCCCCAUCAAAAAAUAGCCUCCAUCUGGGGUAAAUCUCUGUAAUGUCUUCUCCUACGAACAAAACUUCCUCAUCUGGAAAGUAAGUUCGAAGUGGCUCAUAUUCCUCAUCAACUGGGUUCUCUGACAAAUGAUCCGCUAAGGCUUGCCCCUUGAUUGCUUUUUGGGUUACAUACACAAUGUUAAACUCACUCAGCAAUAUUUGCCACUUUGCUAGCGUUCCCGUAGUCAUGGCCUUUUGGAAAAUAUACUUUAAUGGAUCCAUUCUCGAGAUGAGGUAUGUUGUGUAGGACGACAGAUAAUGCCUCAAAUUUUGUACCGUCCAAGUCAAAGCACAACACGUCCUUUCUACAAGAGUGUAACGGGCUUCAUAUGGCGUAAACUUUUUACUCAAGUAGUAAAUGGCUUUCUCUCUCCUACCGGUCUUAUCAUGUUUCCCGAGGACACAUCCAAAAGCAUUUUUUAAGACUGAAAGGUAAAGCAAUAAUGGAAUUCCUUCUCUUGGUGGAACCAAAAUCGGCGGUGCAGAUAAGUAUUCCUUGAUGCGGUUAAAAGCUCUCUGACAUUCUUCUGUCCACUCGUUCAAUGCAUUUUUCUUUAACAUCUUGAGAAUUGGCUCGCAUAUGACUGUUGACUGCGCGAUGAACCUGCUAAUGUAAUUCAAACGACCCAUGAAACUCAUAACUUUCUUCUUAGUCUUCGACGGUGGCAAAUCCUGAAUUGUCUUGAUUUUGGAUGGGUCUAACUUGAUGCCUCUUCUAAUGACUAUGAACCCCAGCAACUUUCCUGAUGGCACAUCAAAAGCACACUUAGAAGGGUUUAAUUUCAAACUGUACCUUCUUAAUCUGUUGAAAAAUUUCUCCAGAUGAGUCAGAUGAUCCAAACUCUUGCGAGAUUUGAUAAUUAUGUCAUCCACGUACACCUCAAUCUAUUUAUGGAUCAUAUCAUGGAAAAUCGUCGUCAUAGCCCUCAUAUAUUUUGCACCCGCAUUUUAGAGAUCAAAGGGCAUUACCCUGUAAUGAUAAACACUCUAGGGUGUAAUAAAAGCUAUUUUUUCUGCAUUUUCCUCAUCCAUCAAUAUCUGAUGAUACCCGACAAAACAAUCAACAAAUGACUGCCUUUCAUGUUUUGCACAGUUAUCAAUGAGAAUGUGGAUGUUGGGUAACGAAAAAUUAUCUUUAGGACUGGCUCUAUUCAAGUCUCUAUAGUCAACACAAAUUUGAAUUUUAUCGUCCAUCUUCGGCACAAGGACGAUGUUGGCCAACCACGUCGGAUAUUUUUUGACCUCGACAACAUUAGACUGGAUUUGUUUUGUCACUUCUUCCUUGAUAUUUAGACUUAAAUCUAGCUUGAAUUUAUGUAUUUUUUGCUUGACUAGAUCAAACUCCAAAUUUAUUUGUAACUUAUGUGACACAAUGCUGGUGCUCAACCUUGGCAUAUCAUCAUAGGACCAAGCAAACACGUCGAUGUAUUCCUUUAAUAGGUGGAUGAGCUCUUUCCUUUGUGGCAUCGCCAGGUGGAUACUGACACUUGUCUCUUUGAUUUCAUCGUGAUCUCCCAAGUUGACUAUUUCAGUUUUCUCCAGAUUGGGUUUUUUCACGAUUCUCAAAUUCCUCCAUAUCUUCUACUAAUCGUUCCUCGUCAUCGUCCUUCCAAUCAUCAUUGUUCCCCUCAUUUUAUUCGUUCAAGCUUUGACAUGAUACGACAUUGGCAGAUUUUAAGCUACUGUUACUGUAAUGGACAAACAAACCAAGUUAGAUGAUAACAAGAUAAUAACAAAAUAUAUGACUAGGAGUGUUUUAGAAAAAAUAGAAUUUUCUAAAUAAAUGAAGGCCUUUUCAUUGAAAUUUGGGAGAUAAUUACAAAAUCGUGGCUCAUGACUUGUGCAAAUACAAGUCCAUGCCUUUUUGAAAGCAGUAAGAUACGAAAAGGAAGUUUUGAGAUAUAAAAGGUGAAUUGCGGGGCCUCUUUCAGAUCAUCACCAAUUUUAAAAACUAUCAGUGAUUGCCCUUUCAUCCACCACGAUGGGCGACGAGUUAUGAGUGGAGAGGAGGUCCAAUUUUGCAAGGCCUCCCCUGGCGUAAUCUGCUUUACCCCACUAGACUUUGGGAGAUCUUCUAGUACAGCAUUGCAUCCUUCGAACAAAUCUUCUAUCCCAUCCCCAAGACCAUCAUUAUCUAACACCUCUCGUACAGGAAAUGACUGGAACAGGAGUGGCAAGGGCCCAAACGGACUCUUCUCUAGCUCAUCCCCAACCCUAUCCUUCCUGGAAGGUUGAUAUCCUAACCCGUACUUAGAGCCUCUCUAUGGGAUCGCAAUAGGCUCGAUAAUUCCUUGUAAAUUCUUGCCCAAGCCUUGACCAUUCAAACUCAUUUCUUAACAUCACUGUUACAAUCAUUUUGUAGACAGAAGGCAUUGGUACUUUAGGCGUCGAAUCUCUGUCUGCAGCAUUUACAAUUUCCAUUGUAUAGAAACUACUACCUUUUGGAACAUCUUCAAUCACCGGCACAUAACUAUUGGGACGGUCCGCUCGACUUCCUUCUUCUUGGAUGACUACUUCAUGAUCUUCCCAAAUGAACUUCAAUAAUUGAUGAAGGGGUGAUGAAACUGCCUUUGCAUCGUUUAUCCAUGAACUUCCCAAGAGCAGGUUGUAGCUAGGAUGGAUAUCCAUAACAUGAAACUUAGUCUUGAACUCAACAUGCCCUAUUUGGAUGUGCAAAUCAAUCUCUUCUAUGGUAUCUCUCUGCCCACCAUCGAAUGUUCUCACAUUUACGUGGCUUUGAUGAAUUUUUCCUAAAUCAUAGCCCAUUUGAACCAACAUAGAGAAGGGAAAAAUAUUCAUACGAGAUCCAUCAUCUAUUAAUACCAUUAAUCGCAUAAUCGCGACAAAUGACGGUGAGAUGCAUGACUUUGUUGUGCAUCGCUCCUUCAAACGAUAAUUCAUCAUCACUGAAUGAUAUGUGAUGAUUCCCCACAAUGUUCCCUAUCAUCGUAUCCAGAUUCUCAACAAUCGUUCAUGCGGGAACAUAUGCUUCCUCCAAGACCUUCGAUAAAGCCUGUCGGUGGUAUUGCAAACUUAUUAAUAGUGCCAAGAUAGAGAUUUGGGCUGGCAUUUUCUCCAAGUGUUUGAUAAUUGAGUAAUCCUUUGGUCGCAUACGCCUCCAAAAUUCCUCAGCCUUUCCUUCAGUGAUUGGCCUUUUCUGUGAAUCUUUUUUGUUGGUCAAUUCCUCAAGGAUGUAACAUUAUCCCGAUCGCAUCAUCCCUUGGGCAGCAGUGGUUUGCACAAUAAAUUCCUUUCUUGGCGGGGGAGCGUACACUUGAGUUGGGGCAUUUAUCACUAUAAAUGGGGCUUUCUCGUUGAUAUUUAAGGCAACCACAACCUUCUCCAUCUUUCCUACCUCUUUUGCUCUUUUGCACUUUUCGAAGUUCACCAGGGUAAUGGUCUUUCCAGAUGCCCAUUCGCCUUCUACUUCAAUCAUGUUAACUGUAGAUCCCCCAUGGUUGGGCAAUGGAUUUCUGUUAAUAUUUGGAGUAGGUGCCUAGAGCGUGAUGACCUUUUGAUCGAUUAAAUCCUAGAUCUUGUGUUUCAAGUAUACACAAUCCUCUAUACUGUGCCCCGCUUCCCCCGAAUGAUAAGCACAAUGUUGACUUGCAUUAAAAAUUCGAGAGUUGGGAUUGAUAUUCCUUGGCUGUAUUGGUUGCAAAUGACUAGCGUUCUUUAAUCUUUCAAAUAAUUGGGUGCUACUUUCAGCUAGUAAGGUGAAAUUUUGGAGAGGUUUCUUUUUGUGGUUUGGACGUUGGAGGUUAUACGGGCUUAGGUUUGUAGGAUGGGGUACUUGGUGAUAAUUUAGAGGCGUUUGGAAAUUUGUUCAAUUAUUUGGAGGAGUGGUUUGGAAAUGAGACUUACAAUUUGAAGGUGGAACUGGGUAUUGGGGAAAGAUAUUUGGCUGUGGAGCUUGGUAUGAGGAUUUGAUGUUUGGGAGUGGAGUUUGGUACUGAGGUUGGGCAUUUGAGAGUGGAGCUUGGUAUUGGGGAUGGGCGUAGAGCGCGUGCGGAAGGUUAGGUGAUGGCGGAGAAGAUAAAACAUUUCUAGAAUUGAACCUCUUUUUCAUUUUCUUAACAGGAUUAGCAGAAAUCACACCUACAUUUUCCUUUUUCUUCUUCGAGAACAUGACAGUCCCAGACGAUGUCAGGGUUUUGGCAAUCUUUCCUAUCCGAAUACCUUCUUCCAAUGAUUCUCCUAUUUUUACCAAAUCCGCAAAAGUUGUCCUGACAGCGGACACCAUUCUGGUAUAAUAUUCUCCUUCUUCAGCGCGGAAGAACACGGAUACCAUUUCCUCCUCGGACAUGGGAGGUUGCACUUUGGUGGCUUCUUUCCUCCAACGAAAAGCAUAGUCUCAAAAACUCCUAACAUUCCUCUGUUUGAUCCGAUCUAGUGAAUAUAGGUAAAGGACUAUUUCAAUAUUGAAUGUGAACCGGUCAAGGAAACCCUUGGCCAAUGCUUUCCAACCAGUCAACUUUUUUGGCUCUUGAGACAUGAACCACUCCAAGGCUUCGCCACUUACACUUUAACUGAAUAGGCACAUCAAUAACGCCUCAUUUUUCCCUAUCCCUACCAGUUGCUCACAGUACCUUCUCAUAUGGGCCAUUGGACUUCCGGUACUGUCAAACAUCUCAAACUAGGGACUUUGUACCCAUCUGGUAGGUCUACUCCAGGGUGAACACAUAAAUCGUCAUACCCUAAACCUUCAUGGUCCCUCACUCCAUGAGAUUCUUUGAUCCUCAUGAUCUCUUCAUUCAUAGCUAGCAACUUCAGUUCAUGCUUGGUCCUUCACUCUUUCUUCUUCUCCUUAUAAUGGUCUAUCUCAGGAUUAGGAAAGGGAUUAUAGAUAUCAGGGGAUAUGAUGACGUAAGGAGGAUUUAGAAGAGAGGUUUGAUUUUGCGGAUGAAAAGAAGUUGGUUGGUAGGUAGGGAGGACGUUUUGGAAAUUAGAAAGGUUCUAUUGAAUUUGCGAGCAGUUAGGUGGAUUUUGAGAAGGAUUUUACGGAUUUGGAAAUGAAUUUGGUGGAUUCAGGGAUAGAUUCGAUGGAUUUUAUGGGUGGUAGGCAUCUGGGUGGUUUUCGCGAUUAAUGUUUUGGACAAGUGAAGGGGCAGAGACGGACGAUAUAUUAUUUGGCUGAUCCCCGAGAAUAGGUGUGCUGAGGAGAAGGAUUUGGAGUGGAGUCCCAUGUCCUCCUGGAGUGGGGGCAUUGACGUUGAUGGACAAGUUAUCCAAAUCUCGAGUGCGAUUUAUUUCCUCCUGAAGCAUUUCUAACUUUCUUUCAAGUUUCGCAAUCAUUUCAUUCUGUUCCACUAUCAUAUUAUCCCAGAUAGUCAGUGCGUUUUCUUCGUCAUUUCCUAUCAUUUUUGAAUGAUGGUCAGAGGAUGGGAUUUUGUGCGUUUUUGAUCGAGUGAAGUAGGGAUGUUCUGCCAGCUUAUAUCAACACAGAGUAAUUUCUAUUAUCUCUGUAAAGUAAAACAACUCAAAGGCAGAUGUAUUAGUUUCUGUAUAUGAUAAGUAAUGCAAAAUAUUUUACAGGAAAUAACCACAUAGAGUUGCUUAAGUCAUAGCUAAAUUCAUCCAUAGGACAUAGUGGAUGAACUUACCUUUGAUCCAAACAAAUGCAGAUAAGCACAUAAAAUAGUUAUAUCACACAAAAACAUUAUAAUAACGCGUAUCCUAGUUGGGGUGACCCUUUUUGAGCCAAAGGUUCAGGCCUAACAAUUUUUGAAGAAAAUAUAUGCUUCGUCGAAGUCAAUCCAUUAACCCCCAACUCAUAUAGACACGAAAAAGGGCAUAAAUGCCUACAAAAUAUAACGAAAAAGGGAUACAAUCUUUAGGGAAAAGGGGAAAUAACAUAAAAGAAGAUAAGUUCCCGUGCAGGAGAGAUAGAAAAAUUAGCUACUGGAGGCUCCUUCGUCUGCCUUUACCUUCUUUUCCUUGUUUACCUCCUAUUCUAUUUUAUACCUAUUGAUGAUAAGAUGACUCCCAUAUAAUUGUGCCUUGCAGUCGUAAGUCAUUUUCCCUAUACUAUCGAGUUGGGAGGCCAUGCUAUCAUCCAAAUCAAUUAGACAUUGCCUGGAAUCAUCAGCUUCUUGCCUAGCUCUUUUCAACUCUUCCAUCAACAUACAUAUAGUUAAAGCAUCCUCCAUGUGUAUCUGCUGGUGCACGAUUUCACUUUUCUAGAACUCAUCUUGUAUCCUGUGGAGUAGAAUUUGAUGCUCAGAUUCUACAUCCACAACCCGAGUAGGCACAUUUGGUCCUGGAAUCAAUGCUCUGGCGAGAUUAUUUUUUAACCACUCCUUGUAAGUAUCGUUGACUUCAGGGUCAUGAUCUAUACGGAAAGUCACUUCCAUCCACCUACUUCUUCUCCAUCCAUUUAUCAUGCCAUCUUUGAGUGGUGACUCACUUUCAUCGUAUUCGGUGAAAAACCUAAGCAUGGAAUCUAUUUGUGGUGCCUCCUGCUUGACCUCGAAUUGCCUAAGAACUCUACCAGGAUUGUAGGGUCGGGUUCCCCUGAGAUCGAGAAGCACUAGGAAAGGUCCCUUGCCCUCUCAAAUGGUGUAUUUCCCUGAACGAAGAGAGUUAAUGGACCAUUGUACAUCAUCAUCUCUUAAUUCCCCGAAAGUUUUAAACCAAAAUUCGUGAGAUGCUUCCCUUUUGAACUUGUGUAGAAACAACCACAUGUCGUGCGAAGCUAGCAUAUCCACCCUUGUUUUAUGAUCAAGUUGUACCGUUCUCGAAUCCUUUACCAAAUGCUUCAUCAUCCACCAUUGUAAUAUUAGGUUGCAACGUUGAAAGAAAUGAUUUUCGACUUGACACCUUCCCAAGGCUCAAUAUAUGUCGGCGACAAUCAUGGGAGCUAAAUAUUGGAAUACCUUGGUAGAAUCGUAAUCUACUCCAAAGAAAAGUGCAUGGGCCACCGUAACAACCCUUGGAUGAAUUGUGCCAUUUUCCCCCUGUGGGAACACCAUGGUUCCGAGUAGACCUACUGUAAACGCAAAGGCUCUCAUCUCCUUCCAUUUUGCUUCGGACUCAAAUUUAUGUCCAAAUUUAUGAAAGGCAUUGAAACUUCAAAACCGACGAUACAACUCCCAAAAAGUGAUAUUUGCUCCAUCACGUUUCCCUAGCUAGGUGUCGUCGUCAGUUAAAAAUGCCUCUUUGAUUGUUUGACGAUCCCACACGGUAGGAACUAAAAUGUUCUUAUCAGGUUUUUCCUUUCUCUUAAAACACAUUUCAAUACUCUCAUAGAAAUUAACACUUCUUCGAUGGUAGGAUUCAAUUCCACAUCCCUGAAGCGAAACACCAUAUUCUGAUCAUCCCAAAAAGUCGUAAGCACGUGGAUCAUUUCAGCCAAGCGUCCAUUUCGAUCAACGAAGGCAGGUGCCCUAUAUGUGUCCUAACAAUUUUUUUCUCAUCUGGACCCAUGUAAUCCCACCACAAUUCUAGGUAAUCGUCAGGUUUGGUAACCAUCUUGAACUUUUCACGAGAAUGAAAUUGAGCCAUAUCUAUAUAAAAGAAGACAAAAAUAAGCCUUUCCCCAACCCCAAAGGGUAAUGAAUUGAAUUUAGACAAGCAUAUAUUUCUCCAACACAUAAGUAUGAUCCAUCUAUGAUUGACUCGGGGUUAAUAGACAUAGGGCAAGUUUUUUAAUAGGCCCAAUACCUCGCUUAGGUAUUAGGUCGUCCUAGGCUCAUGCCUAAAAUAGGGUUUUGGUUUCGUUCUAUCCUUGGUGUCUAGAGUGAGUUUGAACACUGGUUCUCAAGCGGACAACUUAAGUUUGAAAAUACAAAUAGCCAUCAGACGACUCACGUGCUAAUAAACUCUUUGUAUUUCCAACACAUUUUUGGAAUUGAUCAAUAAGGGCCAGGAUACCCACAAAACCCCAAAACAGUUUAAAUAAUGUAGGAAUAUGCUAUGAGAUGCGAUAGUUAAACUUUAUAGAAUCGAAACAUAUAAACAUAUAAACAAUUAAUCAAAAGACGAAAUCAAACAUUUGAUUAGAACCUAGUUAAAAAUCCCCAGCAGAGUCGCCAAUUCUGUUUUGCGAAAAUUUUGACUUUUGAAAGAGAGUCGCCACUUAAUUUUGAAAAGGAAUUAAGAAACCUGAGUAAAAUGCUUAAACGAUACAAAACAGAAAAAUCAUUUUAAGUUAGAGAUUCUGAGUAAGUGGUUCCUAUUAAUAUUUUAGGAAGGUGUUAGGCACCUAAAACGUCCGCUUACUUGCGGUUAUCCGGACUGUUUGAAAAUCGUCUUUUGAUUAAUCUUGAAAAGAGUUAAUUUUUUGAAAAGAAAACGAUUUUAGGAAUAUUUUAGUGUUUAUGCAAAACCAGUUUUUAGUUACUUGACUAAGGAUUUAACUAGGUUCGCAAAACACAUAAGGCAAACAAACGUAAAGAAAAGGGGGAAGGGGAGAAAGUAAGGGAUUUAGGCCAUUUGACCCAAGUCAAUGAGACCUGUCCUACUCUAAUUGGGAAUUUGACCCAUUUCACCUGUCUUAAUCUAGUUUUUGAGCCUUUGGCUCGAGUAUCGCUCCACCUGUAUUAGUUUACAAGUUUAGCUUCGAAGCCCAAAUACAUGAAUAAAAUAAAUGAAUAACUAAAUAGAUAAAGACAACAAUAAACAAAUGAAUAAAUGGAAUAAAACUAAGACUCUCAAGUCUCUUGACCGCUUCAACGAUGGAAUUUUAACCCACUCUUUUCCUCUUUCAACUCCUUGUAUCCAUACACCACGAGACGGUUUUUUGGAUUUUAGACCUCCGGUUUGACUCGAAAAAUUGGGCCAUAUGGGCCCACUUCGAAAUGCGGGAAGGAAAAGUCCAUUUGGACUCCAAAGUGGGUUCAUGCAAAGAAAAGACGAAGCUUAUUAACACAUGAUCAAUAGAAGAUGGAAGAGGGGAAAGUGUAAAGGAAGUCAAGACAUGAUCAACCGAGAUAGGAAAACUAAUAGCUGUUAAUACAUGAUCAACCACAUAAAAAAUGAAGAAAACUAAUACAUGGUUAACUUUAUAAGCAAGGAGACAUGGAUCCUAAUAAGUAAUCAAAAGCCCAUUGAAAAUAAUAAGACAGCUUUGUAUCAGGAAGUACGUUUCCUUACAAAUGCCGCUUGAAUUACCCAAAUCAGGAAGUGCAUCUCCUUACAAAUAUUGCUUGAAUUUUCCAAACAAGGAAGUGCGUCUCCUUACAAAUGUCGCUUGAAUUACCAAACAAGGAGAUGUGUCUCCCCACAAAUGUUGCUUGAAUUACCAAACAAGGAAGUGUGUCUCGUUACAAAUGUUGCUUGAAGUGCGUCUCCUAAAAAAUGUCUCUUUAAUUACCCAAACAAGGAAGUGUAUCUCCUUACCAAUGUCACUUGAAUUACGCAAAUUAGGAAGUGCGUCUCCUUACGAAUGCCGCUUGAAUUACCCAAAUCAGGAAGUGCCUCUCCUUACAGAUGUUGCUUGAAUUGUCCAAACAAGGAACUGCGUCUCCUUACAAAUGUCGCUUGAAUUACCAAACAAGGAAAUGUGUCUCCCCACAAAUGUUGCUUGAAUUACUAAACAAGGAAAUGUGUCUCCUUACAAACAUUGUUUGAAGUACGUCUCCUAACAAAUGUCUCUUUAAUUACCCAAAUCAGGAAAUACGUCUCUUUACAAAUGUUGCUUGAAUUUUCCAAACAAGGAAGUGUGUCUCCCCAUAAAUAUUUCUUGAAUUACCCAAAUCAGGAAGUGCGUCUCCUUACAAAUGUUGCUUAAAUUGUCCAAACAAGGAUGUGCGUCUCCUUACAAAUGUCUAUUUAAUUACCCAAUCAAGGAAGUGCAUCUCCUUAUAAAUGCCACUUUGAGAAAUUAUGGCUUUUAAUGUUUAGGCUUUGAAAACAUUAAUUUGAAGGUAGCAUGUGUUCCUGAAUAAUGAACUAACUACAAGAAGCAUGAUCGAUGUCACCAAAAACUCGAAUAGAAAUUUACUUCAACACUCGAUUUACAACUUUUUCUUUUCUUCAACUUGUUCUUCAGGCAAUCUCCUGGAUUUUUUUUCUGAUUUUUCAAAAUAUGUUCUGAACUAAAAAUAAAAGGUGAAAUAGAAAAAUAACAUCCCAUUCUUUAGGAGGGUCCUGGAUAUAAAAUAAAUUUUCAUUCUUCAGGAAGGUCCUGUCUUCUUCAGGAGGGUCUUGAUCAUAAAAAAUAAAUUUCCAUUCUUCAGGAGGGUCCUAUCCCACUCUUCAGGAGAGCAGAAAGUAAAAUUCAAUAAACACGAACAAAGUUUUUUGCCCUAGUUUUUACUAGAAAAUUUUGUGAGCAUCAUCAGAUUACAAUUUUUGAAAAGUACAGAACGAGUGUGAAUCAAAACCCUGCUAAAGAAAUACGUCUCAUCGGAGUAAAACUGAUGAUCAAAAUUAGGAGGUGUGUCUCCUAAGAAUUAAAUUGAAGGAUUCGACUAGAAAGUGCGUCUUCUAGGAGUGAAUGUUCAUGUUAGGAAGUGUUUCACCUAACAAAUAAAAACUGACUUAUUCAGACUAGGAAAUGCGUCACCUAGGGGUUAAAUGAAAUGACUCGACUAGAAAGUGCGUCUUCUAGGAGUGAAUGGUUCAAGUUAGGAAGUGAAUCACCUAACAAAUGAGACUUCAAUUAUCCAAAUUAGGAAGUGCGUCUCCUAAGGAUUGAAUUUUUACCAUAAUUUGACUAUCAAACCUGUGCAAAAACAUUGCUUCCUGCAUUUGUGGAAAUGAGGCAUUGCAACCCUUGAUAUUUAUACUCUAAAGUUCUUGAUUUGAAAGUAACAUGUUUUCUAUUUCAUCAAAGAAAAUUUAUGAGUUCAAAAACAUAGUGGCAAGUUUGUGGCUUUAGCUUUCAUGGCAAUCACUCUUGCCCUCGUCAUAUUUAAACUUGCUUCCAAUCAUUAGCAUCCUUCACCAAUUUGAUGCAUCAUUGACUCAACCUCAUAUUAUCAAAAGUGACUUUGAAACAAACACAGUAUUUCUGCUUUGCCAUGCUCCUCAAAUAAACCCUUUGAACCCUGGUAUUUCCAUGAGUUCCCAGACUCGUCUGUUGACAAAACUUUCUACAUGCCUUAUUUCGGCUCACAAUCAUGUCUCUUUCACGUGUUGGCUUUUUAUCUUGCUUUAUGCAAUUGAAGAAGUUGGUAGUAAGUUUUGAGAUCAUUUCUCACUUGUUUUGAAAUGGACUUAACUCAAGGACGCGAAAAAAAUGACAAUAUAACUUUUUUUUUUGAAAUAACUGACUCAAGAAGAAAAAAGAAAAAAAAAUAGAAAUAUAGAGAAGGAAGAAAAGACAAUAAAUGUCCCUUUCCAAAAAAAAUAAUAAAUAAAAAUAAAAAUAAGACUAGUGGCACCUUAAUGGGUUUUUGCCAACGCCUAUCUCAUUUUCAUUACUUUCUUAACUCAUUUUCGCCUUAUGGUGCCCAAAAAAGUUUUCACCAAUAAGACUCUCUCAUUUUUACUCAUUCAUUUUUCAUCUUUUUUUCUUGAAAAUAAUGCCCAAAUCUGAAACGUCAUGUACCUAUAACAUGUUUAGCCUUGACAUUCUCAAAGAUCGAUCUGAAGAUCUUUCUUUGAUUGUAACUUGGCUUUUGGAAAGGGUUAAAAAGAAAGGUCGGCAUGAGGCUAAAAAAUUUACAUAACAUUAGGUGAAACAUACAACUUUUGGAAUCAAUUUUUUUUAAGAAAAUAAACUUUGCCCCAGUUUUAUUUCAUUUUGGGUAAUUUGAAUUUUAUUUUGGUUGACCGAACCCCAAAGUAGGGCUGCCUACGUAUCUUGUCACAGCAAGAAUCAGGUCAAACGUAGUUCAGGCAUCUUGUUCUUUUGCCUGAUUUUUUUUUUGACUUUUCUCUCUUCUUUUUUUUGAGAGAGAGAGAUAUUUUUCCUGACUCCAUUUUUUCUUGACACUUUUAUGACUCUAUUGUUUUUUUCUUGACACUUUUUUUUUCAGACUCUAUUUUGAUUCCAAAAGAGUGAUCUAAAAGAAAUAAAACAAAAGCUCAAAAGGGAUAAUAAAGGAUGACACAACAUUUGGAUAGCAGAAUGAAAUGCCUUCGUCAUAUCAAUCCUUAAAAACGCAAGUACAUAACAUGCAAUCUAGGAAUGAAAUAUGAAGAUCAUAAGCAUCUUUUCAAUAUUGACCGUGAUUAAGCACAUGCACAUGUGUCACUUCUUUUAAACUUGUAAAUCAUACAAGUCUACUUAUAUUGUACUUUCCCCACAAUAGAUGACUUUUUUUAGCUAACUUCCUUUUGCUUCUUCUGACAAUAGAAACUAUAUAUCCUCUAGUUGAUCUCAUUCAAAAAUGCUUGAGUUGAACCUUCUCAUUGAAGAUCAAGUCAUUUUUUAUUCGCAAAGUGAUUGCCUCAAAACAUCCAAGUGAGGAUGUAACUAGGUCCCCAAAACAUCUCAACACUUUACUUAUUUUUUCUUACAUAUUCUUUUUUCAACUCUAGGUUCUUGAUCGAAUGUUUCAACAUUAGAUUGGGUUUUAAGAUCUGGCUGAAAAUUCAACAUGCUUAUCAUAUUACCAGAAUCACCAUAGAAAUAGCUCUUUGAAGAAGAAAAGAAAUACAAUAUAUAUUGAGAAAUAAAAACAAAAGGGACACAUAUUUUGUUGACAGAAAGAUAGAAGGGUUUGAACAAAAAUGACAAAAAGAAAAUCAGACAAGACAAGUCCUAAACUACAAUCCUAAAAUAAUUUGGGUAACAGAAAAGAAAAUAAAACAAACUACUAGACUUCUCCCUAGUAGGGAGAGGGGUGACUUAUCAAUUGCUCAGCCUGACAACUUUAGCCACUGAUUUGCAUAUCAACUUGACUAGAGCUUCCACCACGAUCAACAUCAUGCACCAUAAUCAAUUUAUCUUAAUUCAUUCUUUCUAUUUCUCUUUUCAAAGCACGACAAUCUUCAGUACUAUGACCCUGAACAUUAGAAUGAUAUACACAACAUACAUUAGGGUCAAAUUUUCUUCAUUAUGGGUCAGGGGUAUACCCAAGAAGAAAAGUGAUCAUGUUCUUUUGUCUCGGUUUUUGGAAUAAACUAGUAUAUGAUUCUCCAAUUGGUGUGAAACUAUCCCUUAGAAUCUACCUCUUUUCAUUGUUUGGCUCAGAGCGAAAAUCGAGUCUGGAGGGGCUUGGGUAUGUUUGUGGAAUUGGAGAAUGAUUUAGAGGGGUUGGUGCAUGCCAUUGCGGGUAAAAAGGAGUCUGAACAUAUGGUUGUGCAUUAUAGAUAGAAUACUAAGGAUAUGGAAUGGAAUAUAAUGGAUUUUGUGGUGGAACAUAGUGCCGUGGAUGGUUAUAUGGGUCUUGGACAUAAAUUUGGGACUGAGAUUGUGCGUAAUGGUGACGCGCACCUCUCCAAGUUUGUCGUCGACCUGGUAUAAUAGUUGCUACAUCCUCUUUUAUUUUGUUUCUACCAAAGCUUUCUGAACCACUUUUAAUUACUUAUGUUGUUGCUUUUAAAGCGGCUUGGCUGAUAAUCUUUCCGGACUUAAUUCCACUCUCUAGCAUCUCUCCAAUUUUAAUGACCUCGACAAAUGUGUUUCCAAUAGUAGAAAGCAAAUGAUGAAAAUAAUCAGGUUCUUGUGCCUGCAUAAAGAUAUCAAUCAUUUCGGACUCUUUUAUCAAUGGUCUAACUCUUGUAGCCUGUUCUCUCUAUCUGAUAGCAUAUUCUCAAAAACUUUCAGUUGUCUUUUUUCUCGUAUUAGUCAGUGUGGUGUGAUCUGGGACUAUCUCGCUAUUAUAUUAAAACUAUUGAACAAAAUCCCGAGCCAUGUCAUCCCACACGUGCCAACGAGAAAUGUCUUGGUCAAUAAACCAUUCAGAAGCUACCCCUUCCAAGCUUUCUCCAAAGUAAGCCAUAAGCAAUUCUUUUUUUCCUCCUGCUCCCCUUAAUUGAUUGCAAAACUUUUUCAAGUGAGAUACAGGCUUGCCAUGACCCUCGUAUUUGUCAAACUUUGGUAUUUUGAACCCCAACGACAAAUGGACAUCAGGAAACAUACACAAAUCCUUGUAUGAAACACUCUUUGGUCCUCCCAAUCCUUGCAUAUCUCUUAUACUCUGCUCCAAGCUUCUUACUUUCCUAGCCAUCUCAUUUUGUUCCUCAUUCUUAACAAUCUUUUCAAUCACGAUAGGAGAACUGUGUUGAUGAGCAUGAUAAUGUGGAUUUUGAGGUUUGAAAGUCAUUUCAGGAGGAUACAACAGAUCAUGAAUUGGUUUCCCCAUAUUCUUCUGUGUUGUCGAUUGAAGACCCGUAGUAGCUGGUGCUACAGAAGUAAAAAAUGGGUUAUUUGUGACAGACGGAUUUGGUGGGCCCAUGGUAGAAGUACCUGCAGUGCCAGACACAUUAGCAUAUGGGCCGAAUCCAGGCGGGUAAAAUGGAUUGCUAGUUUGAGCUUGAGCAGGAUUUGGAUCAUUCAUAUUCGCAAGUCCAGGGAUUGAGGAAGGAGGGGCUUGUCCAUUUAACCAAGCUUGGUACAGUUCCGCCAUCUGUUGUUUCAAUAACUUAACCUCUUCCAUUGAUGCUAAUUCUAGCAAAAUCAACUGAUUUUGCUCCUCCUCACUAUCAGACCCUACACCCUCUUUGCGGAUCAUUUUUCUUUUUCCCUUGUAUCUGGUAUUGUAUGAAUGUGAUGCUAGUUUAAACAACCAACCAACCACCAACUACUUUAUCUUUCUGUUACCAAGUAGCAAACGGGUGAGUGUUAUAUAUAUUUAACACAUAAUAAUGUCACGCUGUAUGUUAUGCUUCUAGAUGCAUUUUCCAACCUAUUAGGGAAGACUUUAUGUUUCAUUCCGGCUUUCUAGGCGCACUUGUUGAAAAAUUUUGAUCGAACCCUUUAGAGGAUUGCCAACGUAUCAUACCAGGACAUGGAUCAGAUCUUGCGUAGUUCAAAAAAAUUGAAGAUAUGAAGGAAUAUACCUUUUUUUAUUAUUAUUAUUAUUAUUAUUUGCAAUAUGAGAAACAAAUUUUUUAUUUUUGAAUAACAUUUUUAAUUUUUGAAUAUAUAUAUAUAUAUAUACAUAUAAUUCAAAAAAAUUGAAGAUACGAAGAAAUAUACCCUUUUUAUUAUUAUUAUUAUUUGAAAUAUGAGAAACAAAUUUUUUAUUUUUGAAUAACAUUUUUAAUUUUUGAAAAUAUUUUUUUUCUUUUUUUUUUUAUUAGGAAAGACAUCCAAUUUUUUUAAGAUCAAUGAAUCCAUUGAGGAUUGCCUACGUAUCUCAUAAAAAUGAGAAUCAGGUGUGCGUAGUUCUUGAAAAUUAUGUCGUACAACCUCAUGAUCCCUAAAGAGUCAGGGCUAUUAAGAUUUAUAUAUAUUUUUUAUUUUGUAAAACUUAGCCUCAUGAUCCCUAAAGAUUCUGGGCUAUUAAGAUUUAUAUAUAUUUUUUAUUUUAUAACACUUAGCCUUAUGAUACUUAAAGAUUCUGGGCUAUUAAGAAAUAUAUAUAAAAAUUGAACUUGAGAAUAAGAAAAAUAAUUAUGAAAGUAAUCAUAUUUUCAAAACAUUCCCCAAUAAAUCUAUGAAUAAUUUUUCAAAAGAUAGGGUUGUAUCCUAGGAAGGACUUCCAUUACUAGAAAACAGUAAAUUUUCGACAGCCAGUUUAGUCGAAAAAUGGUGGGAAAAUAAGGUACUUCCGACUACUUGAUGGUAGUCGAAAUAUAGCUUGUCGGAAAAUAUUUUUCGACUGAAGUAGUCGGAAAUUUCCGAUACAAUAGUCGAAAAUGUAGUCAAAUAUUUUAUAAAUAUUUAUUUAAUAAUUAUAAAUAUUCCGACUACUGUAGUCAGAAAUUUUAUAAGAAAUUAUUUAAUAAUUAUAAAUAUUUUGACUACUGUAGUCGAAAAAUUAAUAAAGAAUUAUUUAAUAAUUUUAAUUAUUCCGACUACUGUAGUCGAAAAAUUAAUAAAUAAAUAUUUAAUAAUUAUAAUUAUUCCGACUACUGUGGUCAAANNNNNNNNNNNNNNNNNNNNNNNNNNNNNNNNNNNNNNNNNNNNNNNNNNNNNNNNNNNNNNNNAAAAAUUAAUAAAUAAAUAUUUAAUAAUUAUAAUUAUUUCUAUUACUGUGGUCAGAAAUUUAAUAAAUAAUUAUUUAAUAAUUUAAUUAUUCUGACUACUGUAGUCGAAAAAUUAAUAAAUAAAUAUUUAAUAAUUAUAAUUAUUCCGACUACUAUGGUCAUAAAUUUAAUAAAUAAUUAAUUAAUAAUUUAAUUAUUUCGACUACUGUAGUCGGAAAAUUAAUAAAUAAAUAUUUAAUAAUUAUAAUUAUUCCGACUACUGUAGUCAAAAAUUUAAUAAAUAAUUAUUUAAUAAUUUAAUUAUUCCAACUACUGUAGUCAAAAAUUUAAUAAAUAAAUAUUUAAUAAUUUUAAUUAUUCCGACCACUAUAGUCGAAAAAUUAUUAAAUAACUAUUUUAUAAUUACUAUUAUUUAACAAAUAAUUAAAUAAUUAUUAUAUUGCAUUAGCUUACACUACUUUCAGAUCAUAAACAACAUAACUAAUGUAUUUUGCACAAUUGGAUAAAAAUGACAUAUAUUUAUAAAUACAACCACUUUAAACCAUUCAAAACAAAUAUCAAAUCAAAUAGUUUAAACAUCUAAAUGUCACAACAAAAAACAAGAACAAUAACUACAAUCUAAUUAUCAUCAGAUUCAUUAUCUUCCUCGUCCUGAAAUACUUGCGGUAUGUGCUUCUUAACCAACUCCUCUAAUUUAUCAAAUUUAGCAAACUUAGCAUCGUUAGCUUCACAUUUCUGUGUCAAUUCCACAAUUUGAUUUUUCAUCGCUUCCAUUUCUUCCACGGUUUGUAAAGUAGAAGAGGAACUGGGAAACAAUGAAGGACUACUCGAGGAUUGGAAAACCCCUGUCCCGUAGGUUCUACCUUUCUUUUUACCACCUACCACAUUUGUCCACAUAUUAUUCAGCUCUUCAGGUGAUGGUUGGACCAUGGAACUAUCCUCUGAAGUAGGUUGGGUUUGACGUCACUCUUCUAUGCUUUUUUGAAAUUAUUCCUGAAAGAAAAAUUAGUUGUCAGUAUGUAAACAAGCAAAGUAGAGUAAUAAUAAAACAAUGUAUGUAAAAGUUAUUAUCUUACAUAUGCAUUCUUAGCACGCGGUUCGACCCAAUUUCCUCUUGCACCGUCCUUAUUUUUCUUCCUAUGCGUAUCUUCGUAGACAUCAAUAAAAGGGUGCUCUUUUCCCCCAUUUUCAUAUUCCUACAAAAUUUUUAGAAAAAGAGAUAAUGCAAGUACGAAAACAAGUUCGGGAAGCAUAGACCAAAACAUUUUAAGACUAAUAAUAGAUCUUCAUGGAGUCCAUGAUUCGAAAAUACUCAAAUCCAACAGAAGUAGUAGUUUGGAAAGGGUCUACAGCUAUAUAGGGAGCCAAUGCCCCAAAGUUGCUAAUACAUUCAACAAAAAUAUGCCAAAGAUACUAUACACUAUAUAAGAAGCUAUAAGUUAAAUUGGAACUCCUGCAUUAAUUUUCAAGACUUUAUACACUAUAUAAGAAGCUAUAAGUUAGAAACUCUAAUUAUUUUCCAAUAGGAGGUGACAUUCACUGCACGCGUCAUCUGCUUAACCCCAUCGUCUCCAUAUAAAUAUCAGGUGUUUCUGGAGGUCCUUAUAAUAGUGUCUGCUUUGUUUUGUUUUUGUCUACUACUACUAACUACGGCUUUGUAUUUGCAAAAGCAAAGGAGAGACUAAAUGGCGUCACAACAGGAAAAAAGGUCUGAACUCGAUCGAACAACAAAGAAAGGAGAGACUGUAGUACCUGGAGGCACUGGUGGCAAAAGUGUUGAAGCUCAGGAACACCUUGCUGAGGGUAUUUCUAUUGAUUUACCACCAGUAUAAUAAUGAGCAUCUUAAUUUCUUCUCCAAAUGUGUUUACUUUUUAUGUUUUCAUUAUUGUAUUGUAACAGGGAGGAGCCGUGGAGGUCAGACGAUAAAAGACGAGAAAGGACCAACUAGGAACUGAAGGCUACCUGGAAAUGGGGCGCAAUGGAGGUCUGAGCACCGACGAUAAGUCUGGUGGUGACCGUGCGCAGCGAGAAGGGGUUGAGAAAGAUGAGUCCAAGUAUAAGACCAAGGAUUGAUAGCUUUUAGUUAGUUUUCAGUUAGUUUUUGCAGUCUGUCGAUUGGUCCCCUUGUUAAUAAAAAGUUCUUUGCUUUCUGUUGUGUCUAGUUCUUAAGAUGCUCGAGUCUUUAAUUUCUAAUAGUUAAUCCACUGUAAAACAUAAGACCAGAUUUUGAUGUAUCAGACAGUUUUAUGAAAUGUUCUUUUAAUUAUAACUAAAUGUAUUGUACAAUGGAUUUAGUUAUUUUAGUUUUUUCAGAAAGGUGAUGGAUAAUUUUAAUGAUCAUUGUCCAGGCACAAAUAAGUCCUUGUUAUGUUCUCUUUUCUUUUCUCUUCUUCAGUACUAAUAGUAGGCAGCUUCUUUCUGUGUUGUUUGUUCAUACUUCUUUUUUAAUGGGCUUUACAGCUAAACAUCCCUUAAUCCCUUGUUUAUCAUAACCUGAAAAAUUAGUUGUGCCAAAAAUCAUUAGAAUUAGGAAGAGAUAAACAAGCAAAUAGUACAAUUUCGCUCUGUUGGCCAUGGUUUCAGUACACUACUUUAAUUUUGACUAAUCUUCCUUUGACUAGAAAAUCACUUCCCUCUUUAAGCUUUGUCAAAAUCAAGAAUCUCCACUGAUAGUGUGCUGUCAUUUUCAACCUCCCAAUUAGUUGAUGGGUCCAAUCUAGAUCUCUUAAUUAAUUAACAUUAUUAGCCCCAAUAAAAAAAGUAUUAAUAAUACUAAAUUAUAUUAGGACAAACAGAAAUCUAAGUCGUACUCUCUAAUGCUCAUGCUUCAACUUGCUGAUUUUUUAAUCAACCCACGUACCUCUGUAUCCAUGUGACAUAUGGUUUUAAUCAACUUCCAAAAGUCAGAAACUACUUUUGGAUUUAGUUUCUGAAUUUUCCAAUAAUGGUUAUUGGAAGUUAAUCCUAUUAGUUGGUACCAAGCUUCAAUGAGUGGUGGUCAAGCUGGCAGUUGAAAUCAUAGACAGUAGUCCAUUGGAAGGGUUUCAUCAGUUUAACCUUCGAGACGAGCUCUUAUGGUUUGGGAAGCCUAGGUUUCUACUGUGGAUAAUACAAUUUAUAUCAUUCCAGGUAUGAGCAAUAACAUAAACUUUAUCCCCUACUUCAUAGAUUAACAAAAAGUGUAUAACAAUUAGUUUUAUCUCAAUGAUAUAGUGUCUUCGAAUAUGCCUUACUGAUUGCUCUUCUCGAUUAAUCAUAUGAAGAAUGCAUUUGAGAUGGCAACGUACAUAGGUCACCGGUAAGAACUCGAGAACUUAGUGUCCUUAUAGAGGUUUUGCUUUUCCUAUAAUGAAUUAAGUUCUUCACAUAUAUCCCGUUUGCUGAUAAUGCAAGGUUCAGGCAUUAUUUACACAUACCCUCCAUUAUUUAUCAUUAUGCCCAAAAAGAAAAAAAAAGUUCGUUUCUCUUUCUAUCUUUUUUUUAAAGAAGAUUUCUAUAAUCAGACCAUUCAAAAGUUAGCUCUUAGAAACAUUAAAACAAACAGCUUAAAGCUGAUACAUGAACAUAACCUAUCUAAAUUUUUUUCCCUAGCAUAAAAGUCAAUUCAUUUCUCCCAAAAUCACAACUGACGGAAGUCCACAUACAAAAUACUCCUGAUUAAAACCAAAAUCAAACCACCAUCACUAUCACCAACAAACCCAGUGUAUUCCUACCAAGUGGUAAUACAAAAUGAACAAGAUCAAGUUCACAACAAAAGAAAUAAGCAACAACAAGAUCAACAAGAUGUCAACAAUGCUAGUGAAUCGAAAUAGGCCACACACGGCUUCACUAGACUUUGAUAUGAACAAAAACAAGAGCAAUAAGAUGUCAACAAUUCUAGUAAAUCAAAAUAGGCCACACGGUUUCGCUAAACUUCAAUAUGAACAACAACAAGAGCAACAAGAUGUCAACAAUGCUAGUGAAUCGAAAUAGGCCAUACACGGCUUUACUAGACUUCAAGAUGAACAACAACUAGAAGAUAACAACAAUAGUGAAUCGAAAGAGAUCCACACGGCUUCACUAUGUCACAAUAUAGAACAGUGAACUAAACGAACAAAUCAUAAAUUUAAGCUAUUAUUACUAGUUUUCGUCGGAGUGUAGUGAAACUCAUUGAACCUCCAGUGUGCAAUGAGCCACCCAUUUGAGACGUUCUAUUUGCCUUUGUUCAUUCCUUCCUUGCCCUAUAUUCAGAAGUAUCCCAUUUUUUCAAGAACUGAUCCCACACAUUAGCAUUCAGCCAUCCAGGUUUUUCCAAGUGCCUCCGGGCCUCAUACAAGUGUUCUUUGAUACGUGGAGCUGCUUUCAACUUGAAAAUGCAUUGUAUUUUAUUAUCAUGACAAGAAUUCCAUGAACACUUUGUCUGUAAAAUAGUUUAAUAUAAAGUCAUAAAAUGAGUUGACAGAUAUAAAGGUAAAUUCAUCAUUGAUAGCAUACUGAAAUGGUAAGUUCUUUGAUUUUGAUUAUACCACAAACUAAUUCCACAUAAGCACUCUAAUGUCGAGUCGAAUCUCGUUCUAACUGCCCCACGGCUCAGUGUAAAGGGGUUUAAUUACUUUUAUAACCAUAUGUCCGUCGGCAUAAUCAGGAAUGAACCUGCAAUAAAAUUACAUUAAAUUAUCAUAACAUUCAAAAAUUUUAAAAAUAACAAAAAAACAUAAGAUUUACUUACCCAUUAUCAUCAGGGGCGAUAAUUUGCCUCUGUUGCCGUCAUAUUCUACUACCUUUUUAAAUUUAGGAAUCUGAGAAGCAGCUGUUGUAGCAUUAGACGCUGCAGCACUAUCAAUGGAGGGCGAUGUUGAUGUGUUGGGGCCUUCAAUUUUCAAUUCAGAAAGGUUAGGUGUGGAUGAUGUUGAAGGUACAGAUGAAGAGCUACUAUGGAGACUAUUAUGGGGAGAAGAGGGCUGGAACUGGUGUGGCGGUGGGGGCAUGAAAAAUGCAUUAGGUAGUGAAAUAGUUGCCCUUAGAGGAGGAAUAAUAUUUGUAGUAGUUGGUUGAAGAGUUGUGGUAAUAGGUGGUAGUGAUGGUGGUGUAUAUUGACCUUCGGAAAGAUUAUCAAGUCCUUUCUCACCUUUCUUAUGCCGUCCAUUACCAUGACCUUUUGAUGCCAUUGAUUUUCUUUAUUAACCACCUGGAAAAAAAGCAACACAAAAAGGAGUUAGUCUGUGUUAUGUUGCCCAUAUAUGUUUCUUAGAUCAAAGAAAAAUUAAAUUUUGCAUUCCCCUAUUCUAUAUCCCUCCAAACUCUAUAUAUCUUUUCUGUUCCCCACAGUAAUAGAAAUGUUAUGAAAUGAUGCUAGAGAAAGAAGAGCAGUAACACCACUUGAAAAUAAUACAAAGUAAACAUUAAUUUCAAAUGAGAAGUAACACAUUAAAAUCUCUAUCGUCUCAUGGUCACCAAGUUGUCAAAUAAAUCUAUACUUUGCACAAAAUCUUGUGAAAGCUACUUCACUGCAUGCAACGUAAGCAAUUAAGGCAGUGGAAUGGAAAAGGGUUGGCUUAAACAUACUCUUUAUAACAGUUGUGACAACUUUUAACUUGGUAAAUGGCAAGUUUUCUUUGGAACCAGUUUUCCAUGUUAUAUUAUAUUGUAUGUUCUUUAUAACAACAAAUAAUAUCCUAACCAACGGCGACGUUAUAAAGAGGUUUAGUUAUAUCUCACAAGACGUAUCCCAUUGCAGUGUCUCUAAUUAAAGGUCAUCUGAUUGGACGCAUGAGAGAAACUAAUACACGAAUUAGUUGUUGGUAUUAUAUAAUUCCUUGUUUGGUAGUGUUUUCAAUCUAUUAAAGACAUAUAGAGUAUUUUUUUUUCUUCAAAAUUAUGCAAUGCAUGCUAUUUCUAAUACAAUCUAUUCAAUACUAUUCUUAUACCCACCAAACGAUCCCUAAUGUUCAGUAAGGGCUAACGUGUUUGAUAUAACCAUUUUUAUUGGACUCUCAAGACAAGCUGAGGACUUUAAUUUUGAGAAGAUACAUUUUAUAGUUUUUGAAACACGAUUUUUUUCUAGUUCAUUUGCUUUUUAAACGAGCCAAAUUGUGUUGUAUUGUCAGACUCAUUCUGCCUUUCUGUUAGUGUUAUCGUCACAGUUUGACGAAUGUAAGCAUAAAGAAAAUUGUGUUUCACGAGUACGCAUUAGCUGUGCCUAAACAAUCUGAGUUCUGACUUUCCAAAAAGAUAAGAAAUUUGUCUUUGUUACUCUAAUUCAAUACUAAAAUAGUAGUAGUAUUUUCAAAUAAAUAACUUACGUAGUGCUAAUAUGCUGCAAGUUUCAACCUGCCAAGCCACAAAUACUAAUCCAUUAUGUAGUUUGUCCGUUGUUCCAAGGCAAACAAAUUUAGGAGCUCCACUAACCUCAAAUAAAUUGUUGAGAGAAAAGCAACAGAAUAGAUGAUCAAAUACAACAAAUUGCACAGCUUGGUCAAAGGCCAAGAGCUCCGAACGGUACGAUGUGAAACUAAAUUCGAUGAAAACAAGAUACAGCCCACCAUAAAACAUGAACAAAAUAACUGAUUUAGUGGCCUAGAUUCUACUACUUUUUCCUAAAAGCAAUUACGACAGCUGAGCAGUUAUUUUUGCAUUGACGCUCAUGGACUACCUCUCGCACAAUUCGGCAACUCACAAGUGCAUAUAACUAAAGUGAUGGAGUUGGGGUAGAGAUAAACCAACUUACCUCGAAUUAGUGAGAAACGUAGCCUUCACAGCAUACACAGACCGUCGUCGUUACCAAUACUUGCGAGAAACAGAGCCUUCCGUCGCCGUUACCAUUUCUGAGAGAGAUGCGGAGAGAAGGGAGGCGAGAGAGAGAGAUUUCGUUCCCUAGAUUUGUGUGAGAGAGAGAAAGUGCGAGAGAGUGAAUAGGGAACGUUGUGUUUUAUGUAUAUUAAAUGUAAAUUUUCGACUACUUUCGUCGGAUAGAAAAUUAAUAUUUUCAAUUAUUUAAAAGUUCCGACUACUUCGGUCGGUAGAUCAUUAAAUUAUAGAGAUAUAUUUAAAUCAAUUAUUUAUAAGAUUUUCGACUAUAGUAGUCGAAAAUAUAUAUAAUUAUUUAUUUAUAUUUAAAUUUUCCGAUUACUUCAGUCGGAAAUACAUAUUUAGUCAUUAACUUACACAACUAUUUAAUAUUUCCGAUUGCUUCAGUCGAAAAUAAAUAUUUAAUAUUUUACUUAAAUAAUUAUUUAAUUUCCGUGUAAGGAUCUGAUUAUAUAUAUACUAACAUAUUUAUAUAAUUAUUUUUAUUUUUGACUACAACAGUCAGUAAUAUAUAUUUAAUAAUUUAUGUCAUUUAUUUUUAAAAUUUCAUAUAAAGGAAUAUUAUACAUUUAUUACUAUAUUUAUUUAAGUAUUUACAUUUACAACUAUAAUGGUCAGAUAUAUAUUUAAUUAAUUUUUAAUUUUAUAUAGCUAUUAGUAUUUCCAACUACAGAAGUCGGAAAUGUCCAUUUAAUAAUUUUUUUAAAUAAUUAUUUAAUUAUUUCUUUAGGGACCUGAUUAUAUAUUUAGUGUUAUAUUUAUUUAAUUUUGUAAUUUCCAACUACUAUAGUCGGAAAAAAAUUAAAUAUAUUUAAUUAUUCAGUGGUCAGAUAUAUACUUAAUCAUUUAUUAAUUUUAUGUAGUUGUUAGUAUUUCCUACUGCAAUAGUCAGAAAUAUAUUUAAUAAUUUAUUUAAAUUAUUAUUUAAUUUUCAUAUAAGGGACUGAUUAUAUAUUUAGUAUUAUAUUUAUUUAAUUAUUUAUAUUUCCAACUAAUGUAGUCGGAAAUAUAUUAAAUUAAUUAUUAGAUUUUCCAACUACCGUAGUCGAAAACUUAUAUUUAUUAAUUUAUUUAAAUAAUUAUUUAAUUUUCAUAUAACGGACUGAUUAUAAAUUUAGUAAUAUAUUUAUUUAAUUAUUUACAUUUUUGACUACAAUGGUCGGAUAUAUAUUUAGUUAAUUAUUAAUUUUAUUUAUUUAUUAGUAGUUUCAACUAUAGUAGUAGAAAAAAUAUAUAUUUUAUAAUUUAUUUAAAUAAUUAUUUAAUUUUCAUGAAGGAACUAAUUAUAUAUUUAGUAAUAUAUUUAUUUAGUUAUUUAUGUUUCCGACUACAGUGGUCGGAUAUAUACUUAAUUAAUUAUUAAUUAUUUUUUCGACGACAGUAGUCGAAAAUAUAUCAAUUUUUUAAAAUAAUCAUUUAAUUUUCAUAUAUGGGACUGAUUAUAUAUUUAGUAUUAUAUUUAUUUAAUUAUUUAUAUUUUUGACUACAGUGGUUGGAUAUAUAAUAAAUUAAUUAUUAAUUUAAUUUAUUUAUUAGCAUUUCCCACUACUGUAGUCGGAAUAUAUAUUUCUUGAAAUUUGCCGCCAAGUAUUCUGACUGUUUUUGUCAUAAAUAAGUAUUGAAAAAGUAUUUUUUAAAAAAUAAAAAAUAAAAAAUAAAAUUUCCGACUGAAGUAGUCGUAAAUUUUCAACUAUUUAUUUCAGUCGGAAAAAUGCGAAUUUCUGGUAGUGUUCCUACGUAUCCCACUAAAGAAUGAGAAUCAGACCCUCGUAGUUCAUGAAGAUCGUAAAACAUGUUACUAAAAUUUUUCCUUUAUUUUAAAAAUAAUUUUAAAAAAAAAUGAUUCACUAAAUGUGAGGAUAAUUUAAUCUCUUGCAUUUUAAAGUUGCCUAAAGUCGGUCAACAAACAAACAGCCUUCCAAACAAAUGUCAAAGAGCACGUAAGAUGCACAUGUUGGUCUUUAUAAAGUAGGUUACCUGUCCUAGACAGACCCAACCCCUGUGUCGAGUCCCGCUAAGUCAAAUGCAUAUGAUGCAAAUAAAGCGGUACCUAAUAGGGAUAACCAGAUUCUGAGUUUUCAGUUCUUUUAAGUUUAAGCCUAAUAGGGAUAGGUGUCUAGACUGGCUUAUCUGAGCGGACACUUGAGCCGGGAAGGGACAACUUGGUCGGUAGCAGGGCAACACUGGCUUCAUUGUCAAUCCGAACCCCGCCUAACAUGUGUGAUUAUAAUCCUUCACCAAGUGUCUUGACACUCCGGCUAUCUCAAAAAGAAAGUAGGAUGCAUGCGCUACAUUCCUUCUAUCCUAUUUCAGAGACUCAGAUGGGGUGCGCAAGAGAAGACAGUAUAUAAUACAGCUCAAUCAAUAUCAAAGCAGUAAAUAAGCGACAAGUAGCACAGAAGGCCAACAAACACAAUAUCAACAAUAAUUAAAGCAAGUAUAAGUCAAUAUAAAAAGCUCAAAUUCUUGUAAUUUCCCAGCGGAGUCGCCAGAGAUGUCACACCCUUUUUUAUGCUCGAGGGUUCGAGUCGAAGGAUUUUUCCAAUUAAAGUGACAGUUUUGAAUAGGGAUUAAUUUAUGACAGAGUCGUCACUUGAAAUUGAGUUAUAGUGUUUCAAGUCACCUUUUUGAAUCCCUAAUCAAAAGGAAAUGAUUCUUUAUUCUGAUCUGCAAAAACAAAAGAUCGGAUAAGGAAUUCUGUUGACCGAGAGGAAGGUGUAAGGCACCCUUCGAGUCGCACCCUUCGAGUCCCGUGGUUCAAGAGCGGUCGCUUUUAUUGACCUAUCCUCACUUAAACUAUUUUAAUAAAUUACGUUGAGGUCUAAAAUCGCUCAUUUUUAUUAUGCUAAAACUUAUUUAUUAUCUUAUAUUAAAUUUGUGAAAAAUUAAGUUUAGAGAAAUAUUUGUCAAAGAACAUUUCUGUAUCCUUAAACUUUAAACAUCUCGAUAAUGAUGCAUACGCCGCAUUCUUAAUCAAGACGAAAAAAUUUUAGACGUAUCUAAAUUUGUCUAAUGUUAAAGACGUUGUUUUAUCGACUUGAAAAUAUUUUUUAUUUAUUCGAAGUGCCAUUUAAAAUUGAUAGUAAACUUAUAUGGUAAUCAUUUAAAGCAAUAAAUAAUUACUUAAAUUUAUAUAUAGUAACAAAUAAAAAUAAUAAUAAAUAAAAAAAUACUAAAAACGACAAAUAAUAAAACAAAUAAAAAUACACCAAAAUCACCCAUAUUAUAUCAAUUUUAGUAUUAGCCACGAAUUCAUUCACUUUAAACUAAUAUAAACCCCAAAUAUUCCUAUUUUGUAUUUAUUAUUAUUAUUUUAAACUAAUAAAACCUCCUAAUCACAAAAAUAAAAUACAUUGCCCUUAAAUUUCACAUUAUAGGUUUUGCUAUUAUUCUUUCCAUUUGGUUUCACCAGAAAUGGAGACGGUUAGGACGGCGCUGGACUGGUAAAGGUGGCCCUAGAUCUGGUUUUGGAGAAAUAUGGUCGGCUGACAACAUGAAAAGGGGAAGAGAUCAUACUACUGACGGGAUGCACCAGUUGGUGGUUUGCAUGGGUUUUCCGGCCAUAUUUGACUGAUUGUUUGAAAAAUCCGGUGAUGGAUGGCUGAUUCCGGCGGGGAUUCACCGAUUCUAAUGGCGCGGAUCUGUUGAGGGAAGUAGGGUCGGCGGCAGCGGGUUACUAGCCUUGGAAGGUUCUAGCGAUGGUGGUUUUUCGCCAUUUUUCCGGCGAAGAGGGUCGCCAAAAUGGUGACGAGACGGACUGGGUGGUUUUGACGAUUUCCAGCGAUUUGGUUCGCUGAUGGAGAGAAUCGAUCGAUUUUGGUGGGGUUUUCGAGUGAGGUUAUUAUCGCCGCUAUGGCGUGGAUUCCGGUUGAAUCUGGUGGUUCUGACAUUGUUUUGCCAUUAAUGGCGUCACCGGUGACGGGUUUUGGGGAACGGAAUUGAGUUGCCGGUUUGCUUAGCGAUUCCGGAGAAAAAUCUUGCCGGAAAAUCUAUAUAUUUUAUUGUUUAUGUUGAUUCUUUGAUUUUAUAUUACGCACAAUCUGUUACUUUUUUUUUUAUUUUUCUUCAUUAUUUUCUCAUCUCUGAUCUCUCAUUGUGCGUGCAGAUAUGUACAUAUGUUUUACUGCCUGCAUAUCUUGUACUAUAAUCAUAUAAAAUAUGGAGAAGAUGACUAUACUCUCAAUCUCUGCAUUCUUAUUUUUUAAUCAAUUUUCCACUCUAUUUUAUUAUUAUCUGAUCUUUCCUUUCUACUUCAUUUUAUUAUUAUCUGAUAUUUCCCUAUCUAUUUUCGUUUGUACAGGGAUAUGUUAAUGAUAUACAAGAUACUAGAUUUCAACAUAAAUGUUUCAAGAAAAAGUAAUUCUAUAACAAUAAUAAUGAAAAUUCACGUAAUUGAACAAUUAUAUUG